GCAGCCGCCGCGGGAAUACGGAGGAUGCAAGCGUUAUUCGGAAUGAUUGGGCAUAAAGCGUCUGUAGGUGGCUUUUCAAGUCCGCCGUCAAAUCCCAGGGCUCAACCCUGGACAGGCGGUGGAAACUACCAAGCUGGAGUACGGUAGGGGCAGAGGGAAUUUCCAGUGGAGCGGUGAAAUGCGUUGAGAUCGAAAAGAACACCAACAGCGAAAGCACUCUGCUGGGACGACACUGACACUAAGAGACGAAAGCUAGGGGAGCAAAUGGGAUUAGAUACCCGCGUAGUCCCUGUCUCUUAUAA
rnacentral:rRNA from 1 species